AGUGGGGAAUAUUGCACAAUGGGCGGAAGCCUGAUGCAGCGACGCCGCGUGAGGGAUGACGGCCUUCGGGUUGUAAACCUCUUUCAGCAGGGAAGAAGCGAAAGUGACGGUACCUGCAGAAGAAGCACCGGCUAACUACGUGCCAGCAGCCGCGGUAAUACGUAGGGUGCGAGCGUUAUCCGGAAUUAUUGGGCGUAAAGAGCUCGUAGGCGGUUUGUCACGUCUGUCGUGAAAGUCCGGGGCUUAACCCCGGAUCUGCGGUGGGUACGGGCAGACUAGAGUGCAGUAGGGGAGACUGGAAUUCCUGGUGUAGCGGUGGAAUGCGCAGAUAUCAGGAGGAACACCGAUGGCGAAGGCAGGUCUCUGGGCUGUAACUGACGCUGAGGAGCGAAAGCAUGGGGAGCGAA
rnacentral:rRNA from 1 species